ACGGGUGUUAUUGUAGAUUCA
rnacentral:miRNA from 1 species